UCGGGAAUUUUGGGCAAUGGGCGAAAGCCUGACCCAGCAACGCCGCGUGAAGGAUGAAAUCCCUCGGGAUGUAAACUUCGCAAGAAUGGGAAGAAUAAGUAAGGGCUAAUAUCCCUUGCGAUGACGGUACUAUUUGUAAGCUCCGGCUAACUCCGUGCCAGCAGCCGCGGUAAUACGGGGGGAGCAAGCGUUGUUCGGAUUUACUGGGCGUAAAGGGCGCGUAGGCGGCCACGACAAGUCACUUGUGAAAUCUCCGGGCUUAACUCGGAACGGUCAAGUGAUACUGUCGGGCUAGAGUACAGAAGGGGCAACUGGAAUUCUCGGUGUAGCGGUGAAAUGCGUAGAUAUCGAGAGGAACACCUGCGGCGAAGGCGGGUUGCUGGGCUGAUACUGACGCUGAUGCGCGAAAGCCAGGGGAGCGAACGGGAUUAGAUA
rnacentral:rRNA from 1 species